GAUGAAGAACGUAGCGAAAUGCGAUAAGUAGUGUGAAUUGCAGAAUUCAGUGAAUCAUCGAAUCUUUGAACGCACAUUGCGCCCUUUGGUAUUCCUUAGGGCAUGCCUGUUCGAGCGUCAUUUAAACCUUCAAGCUAAGCUUGGUGUUGGGUGACUGUCCGCUUCACGGCGGACUCGCCUCAAAAUUAUUGGCGGCCGGUACAUUGGCUUCGAGCACAGCAGAAACGCGAACUCGGGCCCGUCGUAUUGGCUCCCAGAAGCUAUCUUCACAAUUUUGACCUCGGAUCAGGUAGGGAUACCCGCUGAACUUAAGCAUAUCAAUAAGCGGAGGA
rnacentral:misc_RNA from 1 species